CAACAACAACAACAUGAGUCAUUCGGAGCUUCCAGAAGCAUCCAGCCAGGGUCGCGGUGUGAUGCUCGCGGGGCCGUAGCGUCUGGGGUCUGCAUCCCCGGGGUGAAGUGGGGGCGGCCUCCAGGCCCGGUCCUCCGGGGGCAGCGAGGAAGCGGUUGGAGUUUGAGAUCGAGCUGGAAGGCUCCCAGACCUUGAGGAUCCUGUGCUACGAGAAGUGUUACAACAAAACGAAGAUCGCGAAGGAGGACGGCGAGAGCACCGACAGGAUCAUGGGGAAGGGCCAGGUCCAGAAAGAAAACCGCCCCAGGGAGUGGGUGAUGUGCAAGCAUUUGGGGCUCAGUCAGGAGCCGGGGAAGCCCUCGGUCCAUUCUGGGCGGUGACGGCACAGAGGAGACCGCCGUCUCCAAGGAGGCGGGUGAGGAGGGAAUGGCAUUUCCUCCUGAGCACAGCUCCGUGCUGCACCCCCCUCCCCUCAGCGGAGGGCGGGGGAGUGGGUACCCCGUGCCAGUCCACGGGUGCCCCAGCUGGCCUUGCCAACUACCAAGCAAGCAGGGCAGCUCU